rnacentral:rRNA from 1 species
CAUAUAUGUUGGUUCAAGCCUGUAGUCGUGCCUGGUAGGCAAAUCCGCCGGGCUUAGAUGAGGGGUGAUAACGAGUCUGCUUGCAGACGAAGUGAGUGAUACCCAGCUUCCAGGAAAAGCCACUAAGCUUCAGCUACACACGACCGUACCGCAAACCGACACUGGUGCGCGAGAUGAGUAUUCUAAGGCGCUUGAGAGAACUCAGGAGAAGGAACUCGGCAAAUUGAUACCGUAACUUCGGGAGAAGGUAUGCCCCAAGUAGGUGAACUCGAACAGAGGGAGCCCAACGGGGUUGCAAAAAAUCGGUGGCUGCGACUGUUUAAUAAAAACACAGCACUCUGCAAACACGAAAGUGGACGUAUAGGGUGUGACGCCUGCCCGGUGCUGGAAGAUUAAAUGAUGGGGUGCAAGCUCUUGAUUGAAGUCCCAGUAAACGGCGGCCGUAACGAUAACGGUCCUAAGGUAGCGAAAUUCCUUGUCGGGUAAGUUCCGACCUGCACGAAUGGCGUAACGAUGGCCACACUGUCUCCUCCUGAGACUCAGCGAAGUUGAAAUGUUUGUGAUGAUGCAAUCUCCCCGCGGAAAGACGGAAAGACCCCAUGAACCUUUACUGUAGCUUUGUAUUGGACUUUGAACAGAUCUGUGUAGGAUAGGUGGGAGGCUUUGAAGUGAUGUCGCUAGAUGUCAUGGAGCCAACGUUGAAAUACCACCCUGGUGUGUUUGAGGUUCUAACCUAGGUCCAUUAUCUGGAUCGGGGACAGUGCAUGGUAGGCAGUUUGACUGGGGCGGUCUCCUCCCAAAGCGUAACGGAGGGUUCGAAGGUACGCUAGUUACGGUCGGACAUCGUGACGAUAGUGCAAUGGCAUAAGCGUGCUUAACUGCGAGACUGACAAGUCGAGCAGAUGCGAAAGCAGGACAUAGUGAUCCGGUGGUUCUGUAUGGAAGGGCCAUCGCUCAACGGAUAAAAGGUACUCUGGGGAUAACAGGCUGAUACCGCCCAAGAGUUCAUAUCGACGGCGGUGUUUGGCACCUCGAUGUCGGCUCAUCUCAUCCUGGGGCUGUAGCCGGUCCCAAGGGUAUGGCUGUUCGCCAUUUAAAGAGGUACGUGAGCUGGGUUUAAAACGUCGUGAGACAGUUUGGUCCCUAUCUUCCGUGGGCGCUGCAGAUUUGAGGAAGCCUGCUCCUAGUACGAGAGGACCGGAGUGGACACACCUCUGGUGUAUCGGUUGUCACGCCAGUGGCAUUGCCGAGUAGCUAAGUGUGGAAGAGAUAACCGCUGAAAGCAUCUAAGCGGGAAACUCGUUUCAAGAUGAGAUCUGCCGGGGCCUUGAGCCCCCUGAAGAGUCGUUCAAGACCAGGACGUUGAUAGGUCAGGUGUGGAAGCG